GAUCGAUGGGAGCUUGCUCCCUGAGAUCAGCGGCGGACGGGUGAGUAACACGUGGGUAACCUGCCUGUAAGACUGGGAUAACUCCGGGAAACCGGGGCUAAUACCGGAUAACACCUACCCCCGCAUGGGGGAAGGUUGAAAGGUGGCUUCGGCUAUCACUUACAGAUGGACCCGCGGCGCAUUAGCUAGUUGGUGAGGUAAUGGCUCACCAAGGCGACGAUGCGUAGCCGACCUGAGAGGGUGAUCGGCCACACUGGGACUGAGACACGGCCCAGACUCCUACGGGAGGCAGCAGUAGGGAAUCUUCCGCAAUGGACGAAAGUCUGACGGAGCAACGCCGCGUGAGUGAAGAAGGUUUUCGGAUCGUAAAACUCUGUUGUUAGGGAAGAACAAGUGCCGUUCGAAUAGGGCGGCGCCUUGACGGUACCUAACCAGAAAGCCACGGCUAACUACGUGCCAGCAGCCGCGGUAAUACGUAGGUGGCAAGCGUUGUCCGGAAUUAUUGGGCGUAAAGCGCGCGCAGGUGGUUUCUUAAGUCUGAUGUGAAAGCCCACGGCUCAACCGUGGAGGGUCAUUGGAAACUGGGGAACUUGAGUGCAGAAGAGGAAAGUGGAAUUCCAAGUGUAGCGGUGAAAUGCGUAGAUAUUUGGAGGAACACCAGUGGCGAAGGCGACUUUCUGGUCUGUAACUG
rnacentral:rRNA from 2 species